GACGAACGCUGGCGGCGUGCCUAAUACAUGCAAGUUGAGCGCUGAAGGUUGGUACUUGUACCAACUGGAUGAGCAGCGAACGGGUGAGUAACGCGUGGGGAAUCUGCCUUUGAGCGGGGGACAACAUUUGGAAACGAAUGCUAAUACCGCAUAAAAACUUUAAACACAAGUUUUAAGUUUGAAAGAUGCAAUUGCAUCACUCAAAGAUGAUCUCGCGUUGUAUUAGCUAGUUGGUGAGGUAAAGGCUCACCAAGGCGAUGAUACAUAGCCGAACUGGGAGGGGGAUCGGCCACAUUGGGAACGGGACACGGCCCAAAAUCCUUCGGGAGGCAGCAGGAGGGGAUCCUCGGGAAAGGACGAAAGGCUGAACGAGCAACGCCGCGUGAGUGAAGAAGGGUUUCGGAUCGUAAAACUCUGUUGGUAGAGAAGAAAGUUGGUGAGAGUGGAAAGCUCAUCAAGUGACGGUAACUACUCAGAAAGGGACGGCUAACUACGUG
rnacentral:rRNA from 1 species